rnacentral:lncRNA from 1 species
ACAUUGUCAUUUCCGCCCUUACACCCUAUUCCACUUAAACCCCAUCUUUACACGAUCAUUCUAAACCCUGAACUAUCGACCUUAUCUUCCAAAAUAAAAUCAAACCACUGACCAUCCCUUAAGAACCAUACAACACCACCUUAUAUUAUCUCCAAAAUCGUAACAAUGACCAUCUAACAUCAUCAAAACCAUCGCUGAUCACCCCAUUUUCAAACUCCAGCGGUUUUGCACAAGUUUCAGGUUAAUUCUGCUAAACUCACCAGCCAGUUUGUGCAAUUGUCUGAGAUUUUAUUUUUGAGCCAUGGACUCAAACUCCGGAAGCUGGGCAAGGCAAUCCUACCACUCUAGAAAGAGGAACUAGGUGCAAAGACGAUCAUGAAGAAAGUCAGAUAAUGAGGAUUCUACCAAAUAAAUAAGGGGGUUUCAUUUUCUUUAUUAUUUUAAGAUAUUUUAGGUUUAAUUACUUUUACUUGUUUUAUUUUUCUUUUUUGGUUUUUGCAUCAUAAAUAUUAAGUUGCAAUUAUGAAUAAAAUUAAACAAACUUGCAACUUAUUUCUAAAUUCACGAAAAAAUAAAAAGUGUGGUAAUGUGAAUGUGCAUGCCUGGGAUUGAUUCUGGUUAGGAAAGACUUGGUUUUUAAGCGGUCGAAAUUGACUCACCUCCAUUCCUUGGGACCCUACCCGAUGCACAUUUCAAAUUCACUUUUUUGAUUUUGCCCAUUCUGUUUUGUGUUGUAAACAAUGAGGACAUUGUUACUCUUUAGUGGGGGACUAGAAAUUACAAUUUUUAGCAAUUUUUGACUAAAAUUAUUAUUUUUCCAUUAAGUUAUAGUAAAAUAUUGCUCAGAAUUUUAAUUUUUGUUUAAUUUUGUUAGCUUUAGUAUGUAUUAAAUUAUGUUAUACUUUUAUGCUAGCUUAAUUAUGGCAAAAAUGCUGAACUUAGUAAUUGUCUAUAAGUCAAACCAUGAAAUUUUUUAAUUCCUUAGAAAAACUAAGCAUACAUGAAAGUUUAAGCCUUUAGAAUUGACUUAGUAAUUCCCUUGAUACGAAAUCCUAGGAGGCAUGGUAAUUUGAAAAUGAUUUAGGCAAAUUUUUGUUGGACUAUUUGAGCUUUUCAAGCCAACCUUAGUAAAUAGUUAUCGCUUGAAACCCUACUUUGAGCUAUAUGGCUUGAUGUUUUUUCAGAACUUUUCAUUAAUAAGUCAUACCUUCCUUAAUAUUUAUCUCUACUUGUCCCAAAUCUUAGACUCAGGUCAUCUAGAAUAUUUUUUGUGAUUAAGUUUGGGGGAGUUACAGAGAAGUACUAGAAUG